CCAGACUCCUACGGGAGGCAGCAGUGGGGAAUAUUGCACAAUGGGGGAAACCCUGAUGCAGCGACGCCGCGUGAGUGAAGAAGUAAUUCGUUACGUAAAGCUCUAUCAGCAGGGAAGAUAAUGACGGUACCUGACUAAGAAGCCCCGGCUAACUACGUGCCAGCAGCCGCGGUAAUACGUAGGGGGCAAGCGUUAUCCGGAUUUACUGGGUGUAAAGGGAGCGUAGACGGCAGCACAAGUCUGGAGUGAAAUCCCGGGGCUUAACCCCGGAACUGCUUUGGAAACUGUGCGGCUGGAGUGCAGGAGGGGUAAGUGGAAUUCCUAGUGUAGCGGUGAAAUGCGUAGAUAUUAGGAGGAACACCAGUGGCGAAGGCGGCUUACUGGACUGUAACUGACGUUGAGGCUCGAAAGCGUGGGGAGCAAACAGGAUUAGAUACCCCAGUA
rnacentral:rRNA from 1 species